UGACAACCCAGAGGCUCUAAGACGGGUCCGCAACCCUAGUCUGUGGCUCAUUAGGAACAGGUUGCACAGCAGGAGGUGAGUGGUGGGCGAGUGAGCAAAGCUUCAUCUGUAUUUUUACAACCAUCACUCGCGUUACUACCCGAGCUCUGCCUCCUGUCAGAUCAGGGCAGCGUUAGAUUCUCAUAGGAGCAGGAACUCUAUUGUGAACUGAGCAAGUGUGAGGGAUCUAGGUUGCAUGCUUCUUGUGAGAAUCUAAUGCCUGAUGAUCUGUCAUUGUCUCCCAUCUCAUCUAAUUGCAGGAAAACAAGCUCAGGGCUCCCACUGAUUGUACAUUAUGAGACAGAGUCUUCUUGCUAUGUUGCCCAGGCUGGUCUUGAACUCCUAACCUCAAGCGAUCCUCCCAUCUUGGCCUCCCAGGUGUCAGGAUUACAGGCAUGUGCUAUCACACCCAACCUGAUACAUUGCCUUUAUAAAUUUUUUUUUCUUUAUUCUAAAAAACAGAAAAAACAAAACUGGAUACAUGUGCAGAACAUGCAGACCAAGUGUGUUGGGGACUUGAGAUAUGUACAUGAGUGUUUGUGAUGUUUCCUGGUGAAAGCACAGGUGAGACGUGGUCUUGUAACACAGUGGUUAAGAAUGUGACUUUGGAGCCAGCCUGCUAGGGGCUGAAUUCUGACUCAGCCAUUUAUUAACUGUGUGACCUUAGGUAAGUCAUUUACCUUCUCUGUCCCUCAGUUUCAUCUUGGUAAAGUAGGGAUAAUGAUAGAACUUAUUUUAUAGGGUUAUUGUGAGGAAUAAAUCCAAGUAAAAUGCUUAGAAUAGUAACUGAAACAUAGCACUCAUUAAGUAUGCUUUAAUUUUCAU
rnacentral:antisense_RNA from 1 species